CCUACGGGUGGCAGCAGUGAGGAAUAUUGGUCAAUGGACGAGAGUCUGAACCAGCCAAGUAGCGUGAAGGAUGACUGCCCUAUGGGUUGUAAACUUCUUUUAUAUGGGAAUAAAAUGUUCCACGUGUGGGAUUUUGUAUGUACCAUAUGAAUAAGGAUCGGCUAACUCCGUGCCAGCAGCCGCGGUAAUACGGAGGAUCCGAGCGUUAUCCGGAUUUAUUGGGUUUAAAGGGAGCGUAGGUGGAUUGUUAAGUCAGUUGUGAAAGUUUGCGGCUCAACCGUAAAAUUGCAGUUGAAACUGGCAGUCUUGAGUACAGUAGAGGUGGGCGGAAUUCGUGGUGUAGCGGUGAAAUGCUUAGAUAUCACGAAGAACUCCGAUUGCGAAGGUAGUUCACUGGACUGCAACUGACACUGAGGCUCGAAAGUGUGGGUAUCAAACAGGAUUAGAUACCUUGGUAGUC
rnacentral:rRNA from 1 species